rnacentral:rRNA from 1 species
GAUGAACGCUAGCGACAGGCUUAACACAUGCAAGUCGAGGGGCAGCAACACUUUCGGGUGGUUGGCGACCGGCGCACGGGUGAGUAACACGUAUGCAGCCUACCUACUACUAGAGGAUAGCCCGUUGAAAGACGGAUUAAUACUUUAUGACACAGGGGUGCCGCAUGGCAAUAUUUGUUAAAGAUUUAUUGGUAGUAGAUGGGCAUGCGCAGGAUUAGCUAGUUGGUUGAGGUAACGGCUCACCAAGGCAACGAUCCUUAGGGGUUCUGAGAGGAAGGUCCCCCACACUGGUACUGAGACACGGACCAGACUCCUACGGGAGGCAGCAGUGAGGAAUAUUGGUCAAUGGACGAGAGUCUGAACCAGCCAAGUCGCGUGAAGGAAGACGGUAUUAUGUAUUGUAAACUUCUUUUAUAGGGGAAUAAAAUGCGGCACGUGUGCUGUUUUGUAUGUACCCUAUGAAUAAGCAUCGGCUAACUCCGUGCCAGCAGCCGCCGUAA